rnacentral:rRNA from 1 species
GAUGAACGCUGGCGGCGUGCUUAACACAUGCAAGUCGAACGGAAAGGCCCUGCUUUUGUGGGGUGCUCGAGUGGCGAACGGGUGAGUAACACGUGAGUAACCUGCCCUUGACUUUGGGAUAACUUCAGGAAACUGGGGCUAAUACCGGAUAGGAGCUCCGGCUGCAUGGUGGGGGAUGGAAAGUUUCGGCGGAUGGGGAUGGACUCGCGGCUUACCAGCUUGUUGGUGGGGUAGUUGCUUACCAAGGCUUUGACGGGUAGCCGGCCUGAGAGGGUGACCGGCAACAUUGGGACUGAGAUACGGCCCAGACUCCUACGGGAGGCAGCAGUGGGGAAUAUUGCACAAUGGGCGGAAGCCUGAUGCAGCAACGCCGCGUUCGGGAUUACGGCCUUCGGGUUGUAAACCGCUUUCGCCUGUGACGAAGCGUGAGUGACGGUAAUGGGUAAAGAAGCACCGGCUAACUACGUG